UCAGGAUUUUUUUUUUCAGUGCUUGACAUGAAUUGGAGGAAUAAGAAUACCGUUCCUCUUAAAGCUUCAGACGUAAUGCAUUGAUCUUUGUCACCUUUUCUACAGCUGAAUAUUUCCCUACACAUAGAAGAGUCUCACAGGAACUGAUGCAACUGUUUUCAGUUACACAAAGAAUGAUUGCCAUGGAAGGAGAAUGCAGAGAAGAAAUUAAUAAGCUCUGCAGUCCUGGCCUAACAUCAUCUAAGAAGAGGACCUAGGAAGAUGCUUUGGACCUCAGCUUUCUUUUGGGGAUGAGGAAGAUGUGAUCAACCAUUUCUUCACCGUAAAGUGAUAUCUUUAUAAUAGAUGUGGAGCCAAAUUAACACACUCUAUUAUAUAAAGUUAUGCCACAGGUGAUAGGUUUGUAUGUGUGUUAUGAUAACCACUGAAACGAUGUUUGGCAAUUGUGGAGAAUUUUGUCACUUCUUUCAAAGGCACAAGUUUCAGUUAAUGCAUAAGUUGAAGAUAGUAACAAAGACAAAUCAUCUUGAAAGUGAAAGCACUGCACUCCACUGAAGGCUGUUAAAUAAACAUGUAACCUCACUCUAAAAGAAAUUGCA
rnacentral:lncRNA from 1 species